AUGAUACCAGGAGUUCCCCCAAACAUUUCAGUAGGAACUUUUAUCAGAGAAAUAACUGAUCGGAAAAGAUCGUUUAUCGGUUCAUCACCCAAUGAAGUGGUCAAGGGAAUUCUAGGGGUCAU
rnacentral:miRNA from 1 species